GACUAUGCAAAAUAAGCUGUAAAAUAUUAAAUAUAUUAAAAGAUAAAUCAAACCUCAAAUUGAAUUUUCCCUCUGAGUUGCUACAUGUAUAUUUGUAAAAAAACAAAUGUGCCUCAAAUCGAAAUUUAACAUUUGUGUUGUCUGAAUGGCGACUUUAAAGACAAUGCACAUGUAGUGAAGUCACUCUCUCUCUCUGCAUGUGAAUCCAUUGUAAUAACUGUGACAUGUUGCAGACACCAUUUCGAUUACAGAAACUUAAUCAGUUUAACCCGAAUCAAAUCCGCUAGAAUGCAAAAUUAACAAUAAAACUGUAGAACAAUAAACUCACAAAAUAAAUCGGGCUAAUGUUUAACAUGCUAAAACUAUUCACCACAUACUCCAGUUUGGUACAACUUCUUGAAAUUUUACGUUUUUCGAAAUUGUAUGAAUAAAAGAAAAUGAAAGGUAAACGUCAAUGAGACAUCAACCCAACGAACAAAUAACUAAACGACAUAAAGAGGACAACACACUGUCUUAAGCAAUAUCCGUGUGUGCUAAACUUUAAAUCGUCCAGAGUCUUUUCAAAUUUGUAAAAAGAAUU
rnacentral:lncRNA from 1 species